AGUGAACGCUGGCGGUAGGCCUAACACAUGCAAGUCGAACGGCAGCACAGUAAGAGCUUGCUCUUACGGGUGGCGAGUGGCGGACGGGUGAGGAAUACAUCGGAAUCUACUUUUUCGUGGGGGAUAACGUAGGUAAACUUACGCUAAUACCGCAUACGACCUACGGGUGAAAGCAGGGGAUCUUCGGACCUUGCGCGAUUGAAUGAGCCGAUGUCGGAUUAGCUAGUUGGCGGGGUAAAGGCCCACCAAGGCGACGAUCCGUAGCUGGUCUGAGAGGAUGAUCAGCCACACUGGAACUGAGACAGGGUCCAGACUCCUACGGGAGGCAGCAGUGGGGAAUAUUGGACAAUGGGCGCAAGCCUGAUCCAGCCAUACCGCGUGGGUGAAGAAGGCCUUCGGGUUGUAAAGCCCUUUUGUUGGGAAAGAAAAGCAGCAGGUUAAUACCCCGCUGUUCUGACGGUACCCAAAGAAUAAGCACCGGCUAACUUCGUG
rnacentral:rRNA from 1 species